rnacentral:tRNA from 5 species
AAUAGAGAGAAGUUGGUCAACCAAAAGGUCGAGCAAGGGAUUAACCGAGAGGUUAAAGAGUAGAAGUCUUUCAAACUAUUGCCUAGGCGAGGUAAAAGGCAAGGGCUAUUAGCUCAGCUGGUUAGAGCGCACCCCUGAUAAGGGUGAGGUCUCUGGUUCAAGUCCAGAAUGGCCCACCUAACCAAAAAAGCCAAAGAGAAGGAUAAAUCCUUCAGCAUCCUGUCUGAUGAGAGUCAGAGGGAAUGCUGGAUGUAAGUCCAGUAAGGACCUUGAAAACUGCAUAAAGAAAAGAGAAAGCAGGGAAAAUCUUGCUUUUCCUAACCGUUUUGAUGUUAACCACAAGGCUUUUGGCUGAGUGUGAGACUGAAGGGCGGUGAAGGUAGGAGGAAAGAUGAUCCUAGUUAGCAAAAAGAAGAUCUUAAAAAGGUCAAGCUACAAAGGGCUAACGGUGGAUACCU